rnacentral:rRNA from 1 species
CACGUAGGAGGCAAACGUUAUCCGGAUUUACUGGGCGUAAAGCGCGUGUAGGUGGUUCUGUAAGUAGGGCGUGAAAGCUCCCGGCUCAACUGGGAGAUGCCGUUCUAAACUGCAGAGCUAGAGGAUGGUAGAGGGAGGUGGAAUUCCAGGUGUAGUGGUGAAAUGCGCAGAUAUCUGGAGGAACACUAGUGGCGAAGGCGGCCUCCUGGACCAUUCCUGACACUCAGACGCGAAAGCUAGGGUAGCAAAUGGAAUUAGAUACCCGGUAGU